UGGGGAAUAUUGCACAAUGGGCCCAAGCCUGAUGCAGCCAUGCCGCGUGUAUGAAGAAGGCCUUCGGGUUGUAAAGUACUUUCAGCGGGGAGGAAGGCGAUAAGGUUAAUAACCUUGUCGAUUGACGUUACCCGCAGAAGAAGCACCGGCUAACUCCGUGCCAGCAGCCGCGGUAAUACGGAGGGUGCAAGCGUUAAUCGGAAUUACUGGGCGUAAAGCGCACGCAGGCGGUCUGUCAAGUCGGAUGUGAAAUCCCCGGGCUCAACCUGGGAACUGCAUUCGAAACUGGCAGGCUAGAGUCUUGUAGAGGGGGGUAGAAUUCCAGGUGUAGCGGUGAAAUGCGUAGAGAUCUGGAGGAAUACCGGUGGCGAAGGCGGCCCCCUGGACAAAGACUGACGCUCAGGUGCGAAAGCGUGGGGAGCAAACA
rnacentral:rRNA from 1 species